UGGACGUGUUCUUGAUAGUGUCUCCAGCGGUGGCGCCAUGCUGCUACAGCCAGGUUCUGUCUGUGUGUGAGGGCAGACGGUUCAGUCUAAGGGGGGUCCAGAGGCUGCAGCUCCCCACCAAACGAACCCAGGCACUGGGACUCACCGGACAGCAGGUAUGACCCCACCUCCACCACACUGUCUCCAGAUCAGUCACACCACACUGAAUUGACAGCAAAGUGCCUGAGAGGAGCUGGCGAGAUCAAUGUUGACUAUGCCCUUAAAAGUUUGUCUUUCUCUUUGACAAGGUGUCAGUGUUCUGCAGUCCGCCCACUUUUACUGUGGAUGAGAAGAAGUUUGAGCUGUCUUCUCACUGCCUGGUCUUACUUCUGAGGAGAGAGAGUGGCCUGCGUUACUGUGCCAACAGCCCUUGUGAAAGAGUUGGAGACACAGAGGUUGUUGGGAUGUAUCCACAUCAGACUGUCAGAUGAAGGAAAGCUGGACCCGAGCAGCUGCUUUCACAUGUUGCCCUACAGAGAGAGCCUGCUCCAUAGCUUUGGUGGGCGUAUGUGGGCCGUACCCAACCCCUGCAAUGUGGUGCUGUCCAAUCAUAGGUGUCCAUUCAACCCAGAGCUGGAGCAGGUGGUGGUGCUUACGCUGGCUGGAAGGGACAUCAGUCAGGGCCUGAGCCUGCUACACAGGCUCUGGACAGGGGACACAACAGGCGAUGUCGAGGAGGAUGGAUUCCAGCUACUGGCCAUGAAGUGGCUGCCCACAUUGUCCCGGCAGCAGGUGCGGGAGGAGGUAUGUGACCGGCUGUGGCAGAGCAGCCUGGUGGGCCUGGCCUCCUCCCCUGCCCUGGUGUGUGCCCUGAGGAGGGUGGACGCCUUCGCCACUCUACGGCAGUUCCUGCCACGGGACUACCCCGGGAACCUGAACAUACUGUUGUCUCCCACUCCUGAACUGGCCUUCAGACAAGCAUCCCUCUUCUUCUCCCUGGGAGACAUGAUCCCUGAUCACAGUGUGCGCCCAUUACUGAAGUUCCUACCCCCACCUCGCAUUAAUGUAGCUGGUUCCCAGUGUGAGUCGUUGUUAAACUGCUUGGUGCAGGGUCCCCAGCCGCUGGUCACACUUCCUGUUCAAGCCUGGAGUGUGGAGCCAUGUUCUGGGGAAAAUCCUCAGCAAAGUCCAGCGGAGUGGUUUCACUGUGGUGGGCCUGCAUGUGCUGGUUCUGGACAAUGGCACAGCUGUGUCACUGGUGUCUGUUGCAGAGAAUCAGACAACUCACGUAUUCCUACUUACCUAAACCAGGCCAGUGGACAGAUUGUUAUAUUGUUUUAA
rnacentral:lncRNA from 1 species